GAUGAACGCUAGCGAUAGGCCUAACACAUGCAAGUCGAGGGGCAUCACAUGAGGCAGCAAUGCCGAUGGUGGCGACCGGCGCACGGGUGAGUAACACGUAUGCAACCUGCCUUCAACAAGGGGAUAACCCGUUGAAAAACGGACUAAUACCCUAUAAUACAGGGGUCCCGCAUGGGGAUAUUUGUUAAAGAUUGAUCGGUUGAAGAUGGGCAUGCGUUCCAUUAGCUGGUUGGUGAGGUAACGGCUCACCAAGGCAACGAUGGAUAGGGGAACUGAGAGGUUUAUCCCCCACACUGGUACUGAGACACGGACCAGACUCCUACGGGAGGCAGCAGUGAGGAAUAUUGGUCAAUGGACGCAAGUCUGAACCAGCCACGUCGCGUGAAGGAAGACGGCCCUACGGGUUGUAAACUUCUUUUAUACGGGAAUAAAGUGCACCACGCGUGGGGUUUUGCAUGUACCGUAUGAAUAAGGAUCGGCUAACUCCGUGCCAGCAGCCGA
rnacentral:rRNA from 1 species